rnacentral:tRNA from 1 species
GGCAGAACGGUAAUAUACAAUUACCACUACGUAGGUGUACUGAAAAUCCUUGUGUCCCCGGUUCGAUUCCGGGACCCGCCACCA